rnacentral:rRNA from 1 species
AAUGAACGCUGGCGGCAGGCCUAACACAUGCAAGUCGAACGGAUCCUUCGGGAUUAGUGGCGGACGGGUGAGUAACGCGUGGGAACAUACCCUUUGGUACGGAAUAGCCUCGGGAAACUGGGAGUAAUACCGUAUGUGGUCGAGAGACGAAAGAUUUAUCGCCAAAGGAUUGGCCCGCGUUGGAUUAGGUAGUUGGUGGGGUAAUGGCCUACCAAGCCGACGAUCCAUAGCUGGUUUGAGAGGAUGAUCAGCCACACUGGGACUGAGACACGGCCCAGACUCCUACGGGACGCAGCAGUGGGGAUUCUUAGACAGUGGGGGAAACCCUGAUCUAGCCAUGCCGCGGGAUCGAUGAAGGCCUUAGGGUUGUAAAGAUCUUUCAGGUGGGAAGAUAAUGACUGUACCACCAGAAGAAGCCCCGGCUAACUCCGUGCCAGCCGCCGCAGUAA